rnacentral:rRNA from 1 species
AACGAACGCUGGCGGCAGGCUUAACACAUGCAAGUCGAACGCAUCGCAAGAUGAGUGGCAGACGGGUGAGUAACGCGUGGGAACAUACACUUUUCUACGGAAUAGCUCUGGGAAACUGGAAUGAAUACCGUAUACGCCCUACGGGGGAACGAUUUAUCGGGGAAGGAUUGGCCCGCGUUGGAUUAGCUAGUUGGUGGGGUAAAGGCCUACCAAGGCGACGAUCCAUAGCUGGUCUGAGAGGAUGAUCAGCCACAUUGGGACUGAGACACGGCCCAAACUCCUACGGGAGGCAGCAGUGGGGAAUAUUGGACAAUGGGCGCAAGCCUGAUCCAGCCAUGCCGCGUGAGUGAUGAAGGCCUUAGGGUUGUAAAGCUCUUUCACCGAUGAAGAUAAUGACGGUAGUCGGAGAAGAAGCCCCGGCUAACUUCGUGCCAGCCGCCGCAGUAACAC